AAUGCUUUAAAAGCCAAAAAAUUUUGUAAUAAAAAUGUUAGAAAAAAUAUGAGAAACGGAAUUUAUUUUAAAAAGAUCGCUUUUGAUAAACAACGGGAAAUUAUAAAAGUACUCAAUGGGGAGUUUGAUUGUGCUCUCAAAAGAGAGGGGAAAAAGCUAGAAGAUACUUCUAGAAGGGCGCAAGAAGUGGAGCUUCAAAGAGUAAAUAUGGAAAAAACUAAGAGGAAU